AAGCAGCAUCGUAUAUACUCGCUUAAGCACGCGUCAGAUACAUAAAUUACUAACAACUAACAAGCAACAAGUAAAAGUUCUGAUGAGUUGUAAAUUGAAAUCAUUUGCAAAAUCUGGAUGACGAAUGACGUUUAUGCAGUUAUUGUUAAUAUCAUUCUGAAUAUUAAGAAAAAUCUGAUACUGCGUGGACAACAAAGUCUUACGGAUUUGGAAAUCGGAGCUUUUAGGCCAUGCUGAAUGUAAUAUCAGCGCCCGAGGGUCCACAAAGAAAAUCGGAGUAUGAUAGUCCCUGUUUGUGCUCUGGAUGUGGUGUAUCGCGAAAGCGUGAGAUAGAAUGCUGUACGAGUGCGUUCCAAUUUUAAUCCUAUCCCUGGCUGGAUAUUUGGCACACCGCAGCUAUUACUCGCCUUACCCUUUUUUACCGGAACCUUUGGAGCAUGCUAGAAACGUCUCAACCGACUUUGACCAAAAUCUGGAGGCCGCAAUCGAGGAUGCAAGAAAUGCCAUACCUCAGCCGGCUCAACGGACCGCUCUUCCGAUCGAUGCCAACCACACUGCCCAACCAGUAUCGGGGAUCGGCAGCAUUCUGAAGAUUCUGAUGGAUCCGGAGGAUUCUGGAGAUCGGCAAGAUUCCGGGCCAGCUGGUCUCGAUACCUGGCUGAAAAAUCUCGUGAGGCUCCUUGUGGCAGCAUGUAUACGGGCUGUAUGGGGCUUAGAUGCUGAUUCUUUAUUUAAACUUUCUGUAGUGUGUGCCGUUGCAUUCACAUUAUGCUUACUGUACGACAGCUGCACACUGAUUUUUAAUUCUGAAUGGACUUGGCUCUGUGCGAUGUGAAUGCAAAUGCACAGAGCCGGGGAAUUCCUAUUCUCUGUCUGGCUGUAUAUGAGCCGCAUUCUUUGUUUUCCCUUAUGGAUAAAAAAAGAUGAAAUAAACUGUAUAAUAUAAGAGACUGUAUAUUAUAAGAGACUACUGCGAAUAUAUCUAAUAAUUUU